AUUGAACGCUGGCGGCAGGCCUAACACAUGCAAGUCGAGCGAGCGGCGGACGGGUGAGUAAUGUAUGGGGACUGCCCGAUAGAGGGGGAUAACUACUGGAAACGGUAGCUAAUACCGCAUACUAUCGGAUAACCCAUAUGGGAUUGGCUCGGAGGUGAGGUAAUGGGUCACCUAGGGGACGAUCCCUAGCUGGGCUGUGAGGAUGAUCAGCCACACGGGGACUGAGACACGGCCCAGACUCCUACGGAGGCAGCAGUGGGGAAUAGUGCACAAUGGGCGCAAGCCUGAUGCAGCCAUGCCGCGUGUAUGAAGAAGGCGCUAGGGUUGUAAAGUACGUUCAGUCGGGAGGCGUUACCGGCAGAAGAAGCACCGGCUAACUCCGUGCCAGCAGCCGCGGUAAUUC
rnacentral:rRNA from 1 species